AAAUAAUCUCAAACUAUGAGGAAAUCAUAAUUAAUCAUAGUUUGAGAUUUAUUUGUUUUCCAGUUUUACCCCUGUUUCCUUUGUUCAAGUGGAAAGAUCUUUUUUUUUUCUUUUUGUACUAUUUAUUACUUACACAAAUGUGGACUGACACUGACAUGUGUGCUGUCUUUUACGCAGUAUAUCUUCCCAUUGAUACAAAAGUAUGAUUUUCUGUUGGCUUCAAGAGUGCUGUAGGGAUAUAUUCCAUUUGCAUCAUUUUUAUUAUUUAAAAUAAAAAUAAUACAACACUUAAGAUUAUAAAGAUAAAGAUUAGUCCUUUGACCCAAUA